rnacentral:rRNA from 1 species
AGUAUAAUAUUUAUACCGUGAAACUGCGAAUGGCUCAUUAAAUCAGUUAUCGUUUAUUUGAUAGUACCUUACUACUUGGAUAACCGUGGUAAUUCUAGAGCUAAUACAUGCUUACAACCUCGACUUCGGAAGGGGUGUAUUUAUUAGAUAAAAAACCAACGCCCUCCGGGGCUUUUUGGUGAUUCAUGAUAACUUUGCGGAUCGCAUGGCCUUGCGCUAGCGACGGUUCAUUCAAAUUUCUGCCCUAUCAACUUUCGAUGGUAAGGUAUUGGCUUACCAUGGUUUCAACGGGUAACGGGGAAUUAGGGUUCGAUUCCGGAGAGGGAGCCUGAGAAACGGCUACCACAUCCAAGGAAGGCAGCAGGCGCGCAAAUUACCCAAUCCCAAUACGGGGAGGUAGUGACAAUAAAUACUGAUACAGGGCUCUUUUGGGUCUUGUAAUUGGAAUGAGUACAAUUUAAACCUCUUAACGAGGAACAAUUGGAGGGCAAGUCUGGUGCCAGCAGCCGCGGUAAUUCCAGCUCCAAUAGCGUAUAUUAAAGUUGUUGCAGUUAAAAAGCUCGUAGUUGAACCUUGGGUCUGGCUGGCAGGUCCGCCUCACCGCGUGUACUUGUCCGGCCGGGCCUUCCUUCUGGAGAACCUCAUGCCCUUUACUGGGCGUGUUGGGGACCAGGACUUUUACUUUGAAAAAAUUAGAGUGUUCAAAGCAGGCCUUUGCUCGAAUACGUUAGCAUGGAAUAAUAGAAUAGGACGUGCGGUCCUAUUUUGUUGGUUUCUAGGACCGCCGUAAUGAUUAAUAGGGACAGUCGGGGGCAUCAGUAUUCAAUUGUCAGAGGUGAAAUUCUUGGAUUUAUUGAAGACUAACUACUGCGAAAGCAUUUGCCAAGGAUGUUUUCAUUAAUCAGUGAACGAAAGUUAGGGGAUCGAAGACGAUCAGAUACCGUCGUAGUCUUAACCGUAAACUAUGCCGACUAGGGAUCGGGCGAUGUUAUUUUUCUGACUCGCUCGGCACCUUACGAGAAAUCAAAGUUUUUGGGUCCUGGGGUGAGAAUG